UCAAUAAGAAUAUGCACUCUCGUGCAUUUCAAUUGAAGGACAAUGCUGCUUUGAUAAAUCCUUCUAUGGCUCACAGAUAUCCAUCCAUCAUCAACGCCAUUUCCUUCCCUUCUUAUCUUUCCCAUCUCUCUAUGAUAAGGUUCAAAGCUAUCAUGAACUCUACUUGAGGAAUAUUCAGAGGUAGGAAAAGCAAGUGGAUAUGCUGCAACUUCAGUUGAAUCAAAUCCAAGUCUUGGGUAAAACAGCUAUGGGUGGGGGUGUGAGCAAGUGGAUAUGAUGCAAUUUCAAUUUGGAUCUACUUAAAAUCCGAGUUCCCCAUCUGAUUGUUGUGCCUUUAAGCACAGGCACGAUGCACAAUUCCAUACCUCUCCUUUUGAGAGAACCUUCUGUGCUGUUGGUUCAAUCUGCAUUCUGCAGUCCAAUUGGAGAUGGCAUGGCUAUGAGCUAGAAAGAAUAAAAUAACCAACUAUGUCUAUCUUUUAUUUUACAUUUGUGAUGUUUUGCCUUUCAUUGGGCAAGUACACAGAACUUGUUUCGGGUACUUUUACGGAGGACGUGAUUUGUCCUGUCUAUCUGUAGGAACAGCUAAUGUUUCUGAAUUUGUUUAACGGAAUGUAGCUCUUUUACUAGUUGGAGAAUUUGUUGGUGAUUAAACAGGGUAUCUCUCUACUAAGUAGCAAUUCUUGCGCGGGUCACUGUAAGGGUGGAGUGAUAUUACCCUGGGCAUAUAUUUACUUUUUUACUGCUUGAGAAUCUAACCUAUGACAAGUACAGGGUACUUUAGCAAGACCUGAUUCAGUAAUUCUCAUUUAAGAAUUUUACCUUCCCUAGGGCACAUUGGCUUAGCAGUUUCUUACUGCAUUUCACUUUCCUAGAAGUUCGUGAUAUGUUCCCUAUAUCUGCAAUAGAUGGGUUAACCCUUCAUUGGAUAGUUGAACUUCGCCAUUUUCACCACCUGAAGCAGAAGCACUGUGCUGUUUGGGUCUUGUUUAUUGUGAUAAGCACCUGAAUUGUUGUGCUUUACAGUGAUAUCUGUUAUCUUAUCUUUGGGAGCAUUAUCAUUACUAGGAUUGAUUUUAAGCACUUUGGUUAUACUGUACAGGUUUCCCAGAACAAAUGAAGGAUAUUUCCCGUUUGUGUCUUGUAUGAAAUUUAUCUCAAUUUCUGAUUGAUUCCUUUUCCAACUGGGUUUCAGGUCGAAGAGGAAUGACCCAGUUUCUCCAGUUUCUUAGGGAGCAAUGGUGCCCUAAGAGGGCACUGAGGGAUUUUGGAAAUCCAAUUGCAUGUUAAGUUUGGGCCAGUUUUAUCUGUCUCUUUUGUGGCCGUACAAGGGAGAUUCAUCAUUCGAGACGCAAGAUAACCACAACAGACAUGGAUUAUGAAGAACAAAGAAGAAUUUUCACUGCUUAUUUGCAAUCAUCUCAUUGGCAGCGAGAAAAUCUGAGGAUUGUCUUCUGCCUCGAAGGCUGAGGAUUUGCGGUUGAUGGAAACCCACAGCUGAUGAAAGCAUUUGGUGGACGUAGCAUAAGAUAACCGCCAUGGACAGGGAUUAUGGAGAACAAAGAAGAAUUUUCCCUGGUUAUUUGCAAUCAUCUCAUUGGCAUUGAGAAAAUCCAAGGAUUGUCUUCUGCCUUGAAGGCUGAUGAUUUUGUGUUGAUGAAAAGCCACAGCUGAUGAAAGCAUUCGGUGGCCGUAGCUUUUGUUGGACCACUAGAUUUUGGAACAGCUUUUUGGUGGCUUUCUGAAGGACUCAACUGAUGUAGUACCUCUGAAACAAGGAUACGUUUUUAACCCAUCUUUUGUCUUCUGGGCUCAUUGGUUGCAUGUGAACUUACUUGAGCUGGUUUAUUCACAUUGUGAGGUUUCUAGGCCAUUACUACUCAGUUUUUGGAGUUCCUCUAUGGCCUAUGUGAAAAUGGGGAAAUAGGAAUACAUCUUGCAGAACAGCAGAGCCUAACUUAUAGUUUUAUGGCAGCAUUGGGAGGUGGGGUAAUUGAACUUGUACUGUUGCAUUGCAUGUGAUUGGAUGAGAGCUCUAUUUUCUUAAGUAUUCCCAGGUUAGAGACAAUGUAAAGCGGCUCGGGGAAAAUGAGGAACACCUCUGCUCUUUUAUCUGUGAGUUAUUGAGCAUCAGCGAUUCGGUACUUUCGGAAACAGAUCUGUUUACACUAUGUUCUUCAUAGAGGCUCUUCUUGUUCCCCCAGUCAUGUUCCGGCCCUGCAACCAAGGGUGGUGAUUCUGUAAAUGCUUUGUGUAUGAGUGGUCAUCUUAAGGUCCUUUUAUCCAGUACUUCAACUCAUGCCCUUAAACCUUUGAAAUGGUUAAACCUUUGCUCUCUAAUGUUGGCAGUGGCUACACUCGUAUUGUUUUAUUUAUUCAGGUGAUGAAGCUUUUUCUAGUGCUUGUGUUGGCUCCUUGCCAACUCUUCUCUCUUUGGGUUUUGGAUGACAUAUGAUUGUCUGAGGCUUGGGUGCCAACCUAGUUGGAAUGUUUGCCCUUGUUUUUGUUUUUUGCUCAGCAAAAAGAAAUUUUGUUGACUCGAAGCGAAAAUACAACUAGAGAAAAAGAUGAAGGCAAAAGCAACAAAGCAAGAAAGAUAUGCCCGAAAAGGGAUGUUUGCCCUUGGUUUUGACACCGUCAUAUCAUUGUUUCCUCUAGUCUUUGUAUGCGGUUCAUUCAAAAGAUUAAUAAACGACCGAAUCGGCCACUUGGCAGCAUCCUCUCAGGUCCCAAGUCCUGCAGUACUGUCGUAGUGAAAGAUUGGUAAACAUAGAUGCUGGGCAUGUAAAAGUGGUGUAUACUUGAACAAGUCCUCCAUCUUAGACACAUCAACCAAGCAGAUUCUUUUUUUGUUUUAUCGGGUAAGAACCCAAGCAGAUACAUAUUCUUGCGAGUGGUGUAAUCAUAUUAAAGAGGAAGCGUGCCAUGUGCUACGUGAUUUGCCUUAUGCAAAGGUUUUAAAUAGCGUUAGCGGUGUACA